UACGUAGGGUGCGAGCGUUAAUCGGAAUUACUGGGCGUAAAGCGUGCGCAGGCGGUUCGUUAAGUUCGUUGUGAAAGCCCCGGGCUCAACCUGGGAACUGCAAUGGAAACUGGCGGGCUUGAAUGCGGCAGAGGGGGGUGGAAUUCCGCGUGUAGCAGUGAAAUGCGUAGAGAUGCGGAGGACCACCGAUGGCGAAGGCUGCCCCCUGGGCCGACAUUGACGCUCAGGCACGAAAGCGUGGGGAGCAAACAGG
rnacentral:rRNA from 1 species